UUUAAAAACUAAAAUAAAAAUAGAUUUAAUAUAAGACCUGAGUCACGAAAUAGUGGAAAAAGCGAGCACACAGUGGGGAGCAGAUCUAACCUACCUUUCAUAUUUUCUACGCAAUGCUCUGCUGGUUUCAUUAAUCCAUCAGUUUAAAAUUCUUUGCCCGUUUCUACUUGAAACAACAAAUCUAAGCAACCAUCAAAUUCACAAAUGAUAACAUAUACCAUCUUGGAGAUUGACAUUGCAACUGUCUGUUUAUCUUACAACAAACUAAGCUCUCUCUGCAGCGACUUCUUCAUCACCAACGAAAACUGAUCUAGCAUCAACCUCCAUCACUAUCUAGCUGCUGUUCAAAAAAAUUAUCUUUACCUCAAUUAGAAAAGCUGAUGCCCAGAGCACUUCACCUCGCUGUGACUAGCAGAAAGCAAUCAUUAAUUCAGAUACAACGAGUGAAGUGCCGGUGAUUAAAUCUUUAUGUGAUGCAACCUUGGUAAAUUAGUAUACUAAUAAUACCGUCCCCAAGGCUCCAAGCCUUGAAAGCGUGCUUCUUCUUCUUUUUAUUUUUUAUUUUUAUUUUUAUUUUUUUGUAUCAGAGCAAUAAAAGCGCGUCUAUGCAGCGUGAAGUAAUUAAGGUAGUGAGAAAAAAUCACGAGGUCAAAGCUGCCGCCGUCUCGGGUGAGUUAUGGAUAAUAACAUAUAAAAAGCUUAUGAUCUUAUCGAAACUGGUUUCAUAAGACGGCCAAAUUGCCGAUGCAAUUUGAAACAAUACGAAGGCAUUACUUUGAAAAAUAAAAAAUACAUCUAUUAAUUUAUUCUAAUAUAAAUUUUAUAGGUUGCAGCCGAUCAAAUAAAAAAAUAAAAACACAAAUUGCAAGUUAAAGGUUUUCACAAAAAAAAUUGAAGUAGAGUUAUUAAUUUAUUUAUUUUUCAUCAAACAAAAUAAGGUAAUUUAAAUUUAAAAUCUAUUUUUGUUUUGUUUUGAGAUGUUUGGUAAUAAUUUGAUGAGGUUCUUUUAUAAUUUUACUAUUUUUGCUCAUUUUUUAAAAAUCUGCUAGCUCUACCAAUUGUUUUUUGAAUUCUUGUUAUAAUGAUUUUUUUUCUAAUUAAUUAGAUAUAUUUUAUUGGUUUGUUUUGAUUAUGCUUGGAUUUUUUUUUUAUGUUUUGUUUUUAGUAGAGCCACCAAAAUUAUCAAUUUUUUCUUACGAUAUAUGUUUUGAUUUUAGGCUGAACGAUGAACAAACUAAGAAGAAUUGAUUCUUUAUUAUUUUUUGUUUUAUUUCAAAGUUUAUCAAACAUAAAUAAUACUUCGCUUUAACUAAUAUUUCUUAUAUACUUUAUAUGUUUAUAUUUGAUAGGUAUAAAGACCAACAAUAUUAAAGUGAUGGAUGCAUUAUGAAGAUGAAAUUAACUUCAUUGCUUUGACUCAAUUUAAUAUUGCUCUAAACAUUUUACUUUAUACAAAGAUCAUUAUAUGUUUAUAAUAAGUUAUUUGAAUAAAACUAAAUUAUACAGGUUUUGUUUUACAAUUUAUGUACAAUAAAUUAAAAUAAAUAUUAUAUCUUAUUAUAUUAAUUAAUUUUGACCUACCUUAUAAAUAAUACUAACUCCGCCGGCGGCACAGUACUGCUAGAAAUUUAUUGUUACAGGUCCAUGUUCUUGAUGUCACAAAAACUUAUGGUCAAACUUCUGUAAGAACAGACAGAAAGGAUCGAAAAUCUCCCCUUCCUUUUCUUUUCUUUUCUUUUUCUAGUCGAUGAACAAUCAAAAGUCAAAACAUAUCUCAUAUAUGAAAUAUAAGGUAUCGGACUAAUAUGGUUUUCUCUCUAUUUUUUUUUUUAAUUUAUUGCACAUUACGGAUUUGUAACGAUAAAAACUUGAAUUACCCUUGCACCAGUACGUGCUCUUUCUCUUUAAAGGGACAGAUGACCUUCCCAGCCAGCAAAGGAAAGUGCCGGAGGCUUCCCUUAAGACACACCAAGAAAGGCAUAGCGAAAACCAUUGACCAAAAAGCAGUUACGAAGGAUAAUGACUUGAUUUCUAAUUUAAAUAUGGUAGAAAUUCACCAAGGCAAGUUGCUUAUCCAUGCCACAGCACUGCAUGAUCUAAGCAAAGAAGAAUCAAAUCCAAAUAUGAAAUUAAGGAAAAUCCAAUACAGUUACUCAGCUUUUCCACCUUUCCCUGCUAAUUUACGGUGACAGCCACGAGCAAGUUGUCAGGUUUAAAAUUAUCCAAGUACGGACACAAAACAGCUAUAAAUAUGAAGUGCAGAUAGAUUCUGAAGACAACUCUAACAAUCAACUUUCUUUCCUUUCUCUGCCUCUGUAUUCCUUGUAUGUCUUAUAUUUCCUUCCUUAUCUAGGAUUUUAUAGAACAUUUUCCUGUUAUAUCUUAAUCUUUUAUCAAAACCCUGAACUCUCCAUAGUCUGUUUUUCUUAGCUUAGUCUUGUGUUCUCGACAUCUAUAUAUAUAUUACACCAACUCAUCAAAAUCCCAGUUUUCUAUUCAUACAAAAAAACAGUUCCCUGAGAUUUUUUAGCAUCAAGUUUCAGAUUUCCGGGAUAUCCUUCAACGUCAUGGUAUAGCUCUGUAUCUGGAAAAUCUGUUUCUCUAUUGUUUCUGUUUGUUUCUUGUUGUUUUGUUACUUACCUUUUUCUUUCUUUCCUUUUCCUUUUCGGGUUUAAUAUUUUCAGGCACGAGAGACUGGGAAUGUCAGAUAUGAUGAGGUUAGAUAAGUUCAUGCUUAAUGUUUAUGUGGCCAUAGUUCAUUUGUUAUUUUUGUUUUUGAAUUAUAUUAUUAUUAUUCUUUUUAUCAAUUUUAAAACUGUUUUCUUCUGUGAAUUUUUAUAGGAGUUUGUGUCGAAUUCUCGAGGAAUGAAGCUUUUCACAUGCAAAUGGAUUCCCAUGAACCAAGAACCAAAAGCCUUGAUCUUUAUUUGCCAUGGUUAUGCCAUGGAAUGCAGCAUCACCAUGAAUAGUGAGUAUCUGCAAAUUAAAUCUACAUGUUAAGGCUCUAAACAUGUUAAAGAAAAUUGGUCUUUCAAUGCUAAGGGGUGCUUUCAUUAUAAUUUUCCAGGCACCGCUAUUCGCCUUGCAAAGGCAGGUUUUGCAGUGUAUGGUGUAGAUUAUGAAGGCCAUGGAAAAUCAGCCGGUUUACAAGGCUAUGUAGAAAACAUGGAUCAUGUCAUCAAUGAUUGCUCAAGUCAUUUUACAAGCAUAUGUGGUCAGAUUUUAUUUUAUUUUUCCUUGUAACAUGUGAUUUGUUUGAUGUAUCAGCUGUUUUGAAGAAUUUUUAUGACCAGACUUUUGUUUUUGUUUAAUUUUAGAGAAGCAAGAGAACAAGGGGAGGAUGAGAUAUCUGUUAGGAGAAUCCCUGGGUGGAGCAGUUGCUUUGCUCCUCCACAGAAAGAAGCCAGAUUUUUGGGACGGUGCAGUCUUGGUGGCACCCAUGUGUAAGGUAACUUUGUAUAUCAUGUCCUUUACUUUUGGACUUUCCCCUUUGUCAUCUCUCUCAGAUUACUUCCUUUUUUCCAAAGUGACAAGCUCGUUUGGUAGCUUCUCCUUAUAUAUAUUUAUAUAUAUCCAUGGUCUUCCUACAAAAUUGGAUCCAGUUCUUGUUACUUUUCUUCUCCUCUCUGUUUUUUUAUUUUUUAUUUUGAGUAUGAUAAUAAACUUUAACGAAAACAAAAACUAAAGCAGCUGGCUAGAAUUUUGAUUCAAACAAACAUAACAAAAGAAGAGCGAUUUACCUGUGCGACAACUACAAACAGUACGGAAAUACUGUCUCCGAGAACCUUCAGGUUCAAUCCUACUAGUCAAUGGUCACAACAAAAGACAACUAAAAAAACUCUUUCAACUGUCAACAAAACUUAGCAGAACUUGGUUAGGCAGGCAAUAUUUAUGGUCAUUUUAUUGAUUUGGUCCUCUAUAAGCUGUUUGGACCCAUUCUAGCUGAAUAAAAGGCAUGGGAAUCUACUCUGAUGAUCUUGAUUUUAUUUACAGAUUGCAGAUGAUGUGAGGCCACCUCAAAUGGUAAUUAGUAUUUUAAGAAAGCUUUGCAGUGUCAUUCCAACUUGGAAAAUAAUCCCAACUAAGGAUAUCGUGGAUGCUGCCUUUAAACUACCUGAAGUAAGACAGCAGGUAUAUUUCUUUCCAAAUUUUUAUUACUAAUAAUUAAAUUCUUUUUCCACUAAAACGAUGCAUUAAUUUAUUAAUGAUGUCUUAAUUACAGAUUAGAGAGAACCAAUAUUGCUACAAAGGGAAACCUCGCUUGAAUACCGGCCAUGAACUUCUAAGAAUUAGCUUGGAUCUUGAGCAGAGGCUUGAAGAAGUGUCAUUGCCAUUUCUAGUUCUGCACGGUGAAGAAGAUAAAGUGACAGAUAAAUCUGUAAGCGAGAAACUCUUCAGUGUGGCUUCAAGUUCAGACAAGACCAUUAAGCUGUAUCCUGAGAUGUGGCACGGUCUACUCUAUGGAGAACCAGUAGAAAACCGCGACAUUGUUUUUGGAGACAUUAUCGACUGGUUAGGGAACAGAACUCAUCUUGGAAAUACCAGAUUGGAGAUGGAGCAAAAACGUAUGAAUGAUGCUCCUUCCAAGUCUAAAUAAGAGCAAGAAAUUCAGUGGUGAUGAUGAUGAUCUUCUCCUGGGAAAGAUUUUAUUCUUCAAUUUGACGAGUGCUCGGUCGAGUUUCAGUUACAAAAAUGAGCAAAGACAAAAAUAAAAAGAAGAAGACAGCCUAAGUGAUGGCAUGAGAUACAUCAAUAGUCGCUGUUGGACUGGACAGUUCCACCUAAAGUUAACUUAAGACUAUGAGAUAAGGACAUUUUAACUACAUAAAAAUAAAAUGGCUUCUGAUUAUGCUUAAUUCACUCUCCUAAACAUCAUCUGUACGAAAAGUUUGUUUUGUUUUACAUUGCUUACCUUAAUUUCAUAGCGGGAAACUAUCUUGAUUUUGAAAACGUGUUCAUUAGCUAAUUUCAGUUCUCAGGUAAAUGUAAGUAACUUGUAGGAUCAAUAAAAUGGUUGAUGUCCAUUUCUAGUUGAUGGGCUAUGAUGCUUAAAAAUCGCAUAAAAAAUUCGUGAUUAAUUCAACUAAUUCCAGCACUGUAGAUGAGAGAAUCUCGAGGCAGGCAGGUAGUUUUCCGGUGGGGUAAGGAAAAAAAUAAAGAGAUAAUAGAGAGCUUAACCAGAUGAAGGACCUAAAAUAGCACGAUCAAAAUUACGGACCCCAACACGACAACGAAUUGAUCCAAAAAUAGUGGAAAAAGCGAGCACACAGUGGGGAGCAGAUCUAACCUACCUUUCAUAUUUUCUACGCCAUGCUCUGCUGGUUGCAUUAAUCCAUCAGUUUAAAAUCCUUUGCCCGUUUCUACUUGAAACAACAAAUCUAAGCAGCCAUCAAAUUCACAAAUGAUAACAUAUUACCAUCUUAGAGAUUGACAUUGCAACUCUCUGUUUAUCUUACAAC
rnacentral:lncRNA from 1 species